GGAGGUGUGGCCGAGUGGUUUAAGGCAGCGGUCUUGAAAACCGCCGUGUGUAACAGCACCUAGAGUUCGAAUCUCUACGCCUCCGCCA
rnacentral:tRNA from 5 species